rnacentral:rRNA from 1 species
AUACGUAGGGGGCGAGCGUUGUCCGGAAUGAUUGGGCGUAAAGGGCGCGUAGGCGGCGCGGUAAGUCUGGAGUGAAAGUCCUGCUUUCAAGGUGGGAAUUGCUUUGGAUACUGCCGCGCUUGAGUGCAGGAGAGGUUAUCGGAAUUCCCGGGGUAGCGGUGAAAUGCGUAGAGAUCGGGAGGAACACCAGUGGCGAAGGCGGGUAACUGGACUGCAACUGACGCUGAGGCGCGAAAGUGUGGGGAGCAAACAGGAUUAGAUACCCUGGUAGUCCACACUGUAAACGAUGAAUACUAGGUGUGGGGGGACUGACCCCCUCCGUGCCGCAGUUAACACAAUAAGUAUUCCACCUGGGGAGUACGAUCGCAAGAUUGAAACUCAAAUGAAUUGACGGGG